rnacentral:rRNA from 1 species
GAUGAACGCUGGCGGCGUGCCUAACACAUGCAAGUCGAGCGAACCCUUCGGGGUGAGCGGCGGACGGGUGAGUAACGCGUGGGUAACCUGCCCUAUACACACGGAUAACGUACCGAAAGGUACGCUAAUACGAGAUAAUAUAUUUUUAUCGCAUGGUAAAAAUAUCAAAGCUCCGGCGGUAUAGGAUGGACCCGCGUCUGAUUAGCUAGUUGGUAAGGUAAUGGCUUACCAAGGCGACGAUCAGUAGCCGACCUGAGAGGGUGAUCGGCCACAUUGGAACUGAGACACGGUCCAAACUCCUACGGGAGGCAGCAGUGGGGAAUAUUGCACAAUGGGCGAAAGCCUGAUGCAGCAACGCCGCGUGAGCGAUGAAGGCCUUCGGGUCGUAAAGCUCUGUCCUCAAGGAAGAUAAUGACGGUACUUGAGGAGGAAGCCCCGGCUAACUACGUGCCAGCCGCCGCCGUAACAC